GACGAACGCUGGCGGCGUGCUUAACACAUGCCAGUCGAACGGAAAGGCCCUGCUUUUGUGGGGUGCUCGAGUGGCGAACGGGUGAGUAACACGUGAGUAACCUGCCCUUGACUUUGGGAUAACUUCUGGAAACUGGGGCUAAUACCGGAUAGGAGCUCCUGCUGCAUGGUGGGGGUUGGAAAGUUUCGGCGGUUGGGGAUGGACUCGCGGCUUAUCAGCUUGUUGGUGGGGUAGUGGCUUACCAAGGCUUUGACGGGUAGCCGGCCUGAGAGGGUGACCGGCCACAUUGGGACUGAGAUACGGCCCAGACUCCUACGGGAGGCAGCAGUGGGGAAUAUUGCACAAUGGGCGGAAGCCUGAUGCAGCAACGCCGCGUGCGGGAUGACGGCCUUCGGGUUGUAAACCGCUUUCGCCUGUGACGAAGCGUGAGUGACGGUAAUGGGUAAAGAAGCACCGGCUAACUACGUG
rnacentral:rRNA from 1 species